UACGGGGGGAGCAAGCGUUGUUCGGAUUUACUGGGCGUAAAGGGCGCGUAGGCGGUCCGCCCAAGUCAGUUGUGAAAUCUCCGGGCUUAACUCGGAAAGGUCAACUGAUACUGUGCGACUAGAGUGCAGAAGGGGCAACUGGAAUUCUCGGUGUAGCGGUGAAAUGCGUAGAUAUCGAGAGGAACACCUGCGGCGAAGGCGGGUUGCUGGGCUGACACUGACGCUGAGGCGCGAAAGCCAGGGGAGCGAACGGG
rnacentral:rRNA from 1 species